rnacentral:rRNA from 1 species
AGUGAACGCUGGCGGUAGGCCCAACACAUGCAAGUCGAACGGCAGCACAGUAAGAGCUUGCUCUUACGGGUGGCGAGUGGCGGACGGGUGAGGAAUACAUCGGAAUCUACUUUUUUGUGGGGGAUAACGUAGGGAAACUUACGCUAAUACCGCAUACGACCUACGGGUGAAAGCAGGGGAUCUUCGGACCUUGCGCGAUUGAAUGAGCCGAUGUCGGAUUAGCUAGUUGGCGGGGUAAAGGCCCACCAAGGCGACGAUCCGUAGCUGGUCUGAGAGGAUGAUCAGCCACACUGGAACUGAGACACGGUCCAGACUCCUACGGGAGGCAGCAGUGGGGAAUAUUGGACAAUGGGCGCAAGCCUGAUCCAGCCAUACCGCGUGGGUGAAGAAGGCCUUCGGGUUGUAAAGCCCUUUUGUUGGGAAAGAAAAGCAGCAGGUUAAUACCCCGCUGUUCUGACGGUACCCAAAGAAUAAGCACCGGCUAACUUCGUG